GCGGGAAUAGCUCAGUUGGUAGAGCACGACCUUGCCAAGGUCGGGGUCGCGAG
rnacentral:tRNA from 5 species